GCCAGGCACGGUGGUGCGUGCCUGUAGUUCCAGCUACUCAGGAGGCUGAGGUAGGUGGAUUGCUUGAGCCCAGGAGUUCUGGGCUGUAGUGCACUAUGCUGAUCAGGUGUCUGCACUGUUUGGCAUCAAUAUGGUGACCUCCCGGGAGCGGGUGAACCGCCCAGGUCAGAAACAGAGCAGGUCAAAACUCCUGUGCUGAUCUGUAGUGGGAUCACACCUGUGAAUAGCCACUGCACUCCAGCCUGGGCUACAUAGCAAUACCCCAUCUCU
rnacentral:SRP_RNA from 1 species